rnacentral:rRNA from 1 species
UAACCUGCCUUGUACUGGGGGAUAGCAGCUGGAAACGGCUGGUAAUACCGCAUAAGCGCACAAUGUUGCAUGACAUGGUGUGAAAAACUCCGGUGAUAUAAGAUGGACCCGCGUCUGAUUAGCUAGUUGGUGAGAUAACAGCCCACCAAGGCGACGAUCAGUAGCCGACCUGAGAGGGUGACCGGCCACAUUGGGACUGAGACACGGCCCAG